ACGCUCGACACCUACGGUAGGCAGCAGUUGGGAAUAUUGGACAAUGGAGGAAACUCUGAUCCAGUGACGCCGCGUGAAGGAAGAAGGUCUUCGGAUUGUAAACUUAUUUUGUCAGGGAAGAAAAAUGACUGUACCUGAAGAAAAAGCACCGGCUAACUACGUGCCCACAGCCGCGGUAAUCUGAGCGGGCUGGCAAGGC
rnacentral:rRNA from 1 species